rnacentral:rRNA from 1 species
GACGUAGGGCGCGAGCGUUGUCCGGAGUUACUGGGCGUAAAGGGCAUGCAGGCGGUCGGACGCGUUUCGGGUGACAGCGGGUGGCUUAACUACCCGAGUGGUCGAAAGACGGUUUGACUUGAGGACGCGAGAGGGACACGGAAUUCCGGGUGGAGUGGUGAAAUGCGUAGAGAUCCGGAGGAACACCGAAGGCGAAGGCAGUGUCCUGGCGCGUAACUGACGCUGAGGUGCGAAAGCCAGGGGAGCGAACGGG